CUGUCUCCUUCAUGCCUUUCUCCAGGAUGUAGCCUUCGGUCUCGAUCUCCACAUUCUCCUGUCCUUCCACAGCUGCCAUGGAGGUCUGAAGGUAGCGCAGUCCAGUCAACACGGUCAUCUACAACAGAAAUAAGGGAGCUGGUACUGGAUGCAUGGUCUGGGGGAAGCUGGAUUACAGCAGCUGAAAGGGACACCAUCUACUAGGAAACGACCAUCCACGUUACUCUUUACACGGCUAGACAAGAGACCAGGCACCACAGGAAACACAAAACAGAGUUUGGUCAGAUAUGAGCAUGAUCUCUUUUUGCAAUUUUCUUCUAUAUUUUUAUAAAAUUUAAUUGAAUAUGUGGAAAUUUGAAAUAACUCUCUUGCAUUACUAAAAAUUAAAGCAGAUUUUCUUGAGUCAGUGUGUGGUCAAGGUCAUUUGCCUGGAUCACACAUAAGGCUCUGGAUACACGUGAUUGAUUUGAAUUGUUCAAUGCACACGUGUGGAGACAUGUAAUCCGCAGUUUCCACACAUUCAUUAAAUUAAAAGCAAGGAUCUGGGACUAUCAACAGUGUUUGCAAGAAAUACAGGAAGCAAAUUCACACCACAUGGUGUUAAUUUCAUUUUCACACCUCAAUCCUUAUUCCUUAAAAUGUGCUAAGCGGAAGGAUAAAGGUCUGUUUUUUUCUCUCUCUCUCUCUCUCUGCUUUUUACUCACUCUUUCACUUCUUUUGAAGUGAAAUCCAGGUAGCGGUUGUUGACCCACUGUACUUCAAACCAGUCCCUGUAAUUAGUGUUCCCACAGCACUGGAACUCUAUCUGCAGACGGUCAAUGGUCUCCUUCUGGAAGCACCGGCCUGGAGUGUCUGUGUCCUGAGUGAUGGAGUACAAUUUUACACUUACCUUGUGCACAAUGAGCAUGAAACUUUAAGCCUAUUCUUGAACUAAAGCACACAGUUAAUGGAGAAUGUCUAAUUGUUCAUCAGUACAGAAAACUAAUGUGUAACAAUCCCUCUUACUGAUUGCUUAUAAUAAGUUUGUUAUUUUGGAUUUAGAUUAUAUUGGUCAUUGAUUAUGUUUAAAUAGAAACAAGCUCAAUUUACUUCCUUAUUAUUAGCAGGCCUCUCAUAUAUCACACCACACAGAAAUUGCCAUUAUACUUUUUUUUUUAGAAUACAUAUACAGUAAUACACAUACUAACAACACAUUUUCACCUAUAGAACAUGUGAGCACAUAAUGUGAUACAAUGAUUAUUACUAUCAUUCAACCAAUACUAUGAAUGAGUGGUGGUUUAUGUAAGUGUGAUUUUACUAUAAGUAGAAAAGUCAUAGGAAAACUUUAUUCAUGUGUAAGAAUAUUCUUUCACCUUAUAGAAACGGAUGCCAUUCUUCAAUCCCACUUUAAGAGACUCCUCCAGGCUGGGCUGCAGGGCAUAGCUCAGUGUCAUAGCAACCAGCAGGAGAGAAGUAAAGAAGAGAGAAAGGCAGAAGAAAGGAGUGAGGAUGUUUUUCCAGCGUGGAAACCGAGAGGCAUCCAGAGAGUCCUGACACACUUUACCAGCACAGAUGUUGAUGCCCACAGACAUCAGCCCCACCACUAUAAGCAGAAUGGAGUUUUUUCUCAAGGACACUGUUUGCCUGCUGACAGCUUAUGUAGCUGUCCUGAAGCCUGUGAGGGAACAAGAGUUUAUAAAUAAUAUCAGGGUUAAACCAAGCAUGUACUUCCUGUACACUGAAACAAAUGAACGUAGAAAGUGAAGAUAUCCAUUUUCUAUUGAUCUUAGCUUGUUAAAUAUAUCUUAUAAUAAUAUUUGAAAUAAAAAAAACUUGAAAUAAUAUUAUAUUUAUUAAUGCUUUGUUAUAUUAUAUUUAAUAUAUCACCACAUUAUCUGAUACAUUUUUCCAUAUAAAAAAAAAAAUUACUUUUGCUAAUAUUUUUGCAGUGUAUCAAUUGGACAUUGCAUUGGACAAUGUUAUUUUGGUUCACCAGUCAAAUAAUAUUUUUUCAAAUCCAAGCUAAUUAUGUGAUAAUAAUUAAAGACUUAAUAAAAGUUAUCUUAUCACUGAUUAAUCAUGUUUAAAAUCAAGUUAAUAGCAGCUUAAAUGUUUGUGUCCCAUUCUCAAUUUGAUAUAAACUUUCUAUAACAAUUGGUAAUUCCAUGUCUUGAUCAAAUCCCAAGCCUUCAUAUAAUUGUCCAUGCCUUCAUAUAAUUUUUCCAAGAACUUUUUUCUUAUACAUCCUAUGAACAGGUUUUUGCCAUUGUUCUUCCUGAAUUCAUUGUUCUUCAACUCUGCUACUGUCAAGUCUGGUCUUUCGUUUGAUUUUUUUUCUUUACGUUUUACAGUAUAUUUGUUGUCUCUGUGGUCAGUGUGGUCUGAACAUCUUUUUUUCUUUGUGAAAUUAUUUUGUAGAACAACAAACAAUAUAACAGAGAUAAUAUUUCCCUGCAGGUAUGCAAACUUAGAGGUAAAUUGUAUGUAUAGUGUAAUUUGAUUACAAUUAAAUUAGAAUUAAAUAUUUUCUUAGAAUUAUUCAUUUUUAUAGAAAAUGCAUAAAUAGUUUAUUAUACAACUCCACAACUGUACAAAUUAUUGUUUGUACUAUCGUUCUUAUAUCACAGGUUUUGAGUAAUUAAAUCUGGCAGGUUUUUUUUUGUUGUUGUUUUUUUUUUGACUCCUUUGAAAAUCUUUUAAUUUUUAACAUUGCCUGUUUAACAUUGCCUGUAUGCAUGUAUUUUUAAUACUGCUGUUGUCUUUAUUCUGAAUGCUGUGGGUAAUAUUAAAAUACAAU